rnacentral:rRNA from 1 species
GAGCAUCCUGGCGGCGAGUGGCGAACGGGUGAGUAAUACAUCGGAACGUGUCCUGUAGUGGGGGAUAGCCCGGCGAAAGCCGGAUUAAUACCGCAUACGAUCUACGGAUGAAAGCGGGGGAUCGCAAGACCUCGCGCUAUAGGGGCGGCCGAUGGCGGAUUAGCUAGUUGGUGGGGUAAAGGCCCACCAAGGCGACGAUCCGUAGCUGGUCUGAGAGGACGACCAGCCACACUGGGACUGAGACACGGCCCAGACUCCUACGGGAGGCAGCAGUGGGGAAUUUUGGACAAUGGGCGCAAGCCUGAUCCAGCAAUGCCGCGUGUGUGAAGAAGGCCUUCGGGUUGUAAAGCACUUUUGUCCGGAAAGAAAUCCUCUGGGUUAAUACCCCGGGGGGAUGACGGUACCGGAAGAAUAAGCACCGGCUAACUACGUGCCAGCAGCCGCGGUAAUACGUAGGGUGCGAGCGUUAAUCGGAAUUACUGGGCGUAAAGCGUGCGCAGGCGGUGAUGUAAGACCGAUGUGAAAUCCCCGGGCUUAACCUGGGAACUGCAUUGGUGACUGCAUCGCUGGAGUAUGGCAGAGGGGGGUAGAAUUCCCGUGUAGCAGUGAAAUGCGUAGAGAUGUGGAGGAAUACCGAUGGCGAAGGCAGCCCCCUGGGCCAAUACUGACGCUCAUGCACGAAAGCGUGGGGAGCAAACAGGAUU